GAGGGUUUUGUGUGUUGUCGCUGCUAACGAUGAUAGGGGUUUUGAAAAACCCAGCUCUCU
rnacentral:tRNA from 1 species